rnacentral:lncRNA from 1 species
GGGCGCGGGGCGGGCGGGCUAUGGAGGCGGGGUUAGGGGCUCGGCCCCACCCGCUACCCAGGGGGCGGGGAAGAGACCUCCGGCUCCAUCGCGAGCAGACUCGGGGAGGACAGUGCAGAUACCCGGCGCAGACCCAAGGAACAGCCCCGAUCGCCCACUCGGCUGCAGGGGUCCCCGGGGCAGGUGCAGCAAGCCGGGACCCGCCCUAGAUGCGCUGGGAACCUUCGGCCUCCCGGCCGCGGAGCCAGGCGCUGGACGCGCCGCCCCUCCAAGGUGCGGCUGGUGCCUCCGGCGCGGGCGCUGGGCCUUUGCGAAGUUCUCCCGGAUCUCUGGCAGGGACCACCUGUGUGGAUGGAAGGUGGAGCGACCCCUUGGCUCCGUCCCUACAACUAUGGGGUCCCGCUCCCAAUGUGGGGCUGGCUGUCCAAGACCCGAAAUCCCAGUUUUGAGCGCCUCGUCCCAGCCACGAGGUCCCCAGAGCCUAUCUUGAACUCCGAGGAAUGCACAUUCACAGCCCGAGACUCUUGUCGGAGCUGGGACCACCCUGAGGCCACCAGAAAUCGAUUCUAA